rnacentral:tRNA from 1 species
UUUCCUGUAGCGCAAUGGAUAGCGCGUUGGACUUCGAAUUCAAAGGUCGUGGGUUCGAAUCCUACCUGGGAAG